rnacentral:rRNA from 1 species
GACGGAGGGUGCAAGCGUUAUCCGGAAUUAUUGGGCGUAAAGCGUCCGCAGGCGGCCUUUCAAGUCUGCUGUCAAAGUCCGGGGCUUAACUUCGGAAAGGCAGUGGAAACUGAACAGCUAGAGUAUGGUAGGGGCAGAGGGAAUUCCUGGUGUAGCGGUGAAAUGCGUAGAGAUCAGGAAGAACAUCGGUGGCGAAGGCGCUCUGCUGGACCAUAACUGACACUCAGGGACGAAAGCUAGGGGAGCGAAUGGG